ACAGCCACAUCACAUUUAAACACUGAUUCUUGUACAAUCACCAAAGUUAAGCAAUAUUGAGCUUGGUCAGUACCUAAAUGGGUGAUCACUUGGGAAUACUAGGUGCUGUAAG